UACGUAGGGGGCUAGCGUUGUCCGGAAUCAUUGGGCGUAAAGCGCGUGUAGGCGGCCCGAUAAGUCCGCUGUGAAAGUCCAGGGCUCAACCCUGGGAUGCCGGUGGAUACUGUCGGGCUCGAGUCCGGAAGAGGCGAGUGGAAUUCCUGGUGUAGCGGUGAAAUGCGCAGAUAUCAGGAGGAACACCAAUGGCGAAGGCAGCUCGCUGGCCCGGUACUGACGCUGAGGCACGAAAGCGUGGGGAGCAAACAGG
rnacentral:rRNA from 1 species